rnacentral:snRNA from 1 species
UUGCGUAUUAUUUUAUACUUCAU